CUCUGACAGAGCUCCCUCCGCAGGGCUGGUGCUCCAGGAGCAGCUUCCAACGCUCUGGGCAACCGAAUGCCUUCCACUGCCCCAGAGUGUGGUGCUUCAGGGUGCCCCUGGGCUUAAGGUUUGAUGUGGCUGCACGCGGGCAGGACCUCUUAGCCAUCAAACAGCCACCCAGCUAAAAGGCAGAGAGCAGCGCCACAGGUGACCCAGAGGAGACGCCACUCCCCAGAGGCCGAGGAAGACUCCAAGACUUUUUUCACAGGAAUCUAUUUUUCCCUAGUCUUCCCACCAUGACUGAGCGCUUUAUAAAGCACCAUUAGAUAUGACCCCAUCUCGUCUCCAGGAACCCACCAUGAAACAAGUGUCAUCACCACAUCUUACAGGUUCACAGCAGCGCCAUUCACCGCCACCAAGAGAUGGAAACAUCCAGAGGCCCUUCCCCGGAUGAAGGAUAAACAGAAUGUGGCUCAUCCUCCUCCCUGCUGUGGAAUGCGAUUCAGCCAUGAGAAGGAGCAAGGCACUGACACAGGCCACAAUGUCGAUGAACCCUGGAAACACCAUGCUCAGUGAAAGAAGCCGGACAUGAAAGGCCAGUCUGGUGUGAUUCCAUUUACACGGAAUAACCAGAACUAGUAAAUCCCUGGAAAUAGAAAGCAGGCCAGGUGAUGUGUGGCUCGCGGCUGUAAUCCCAGCACUUUGGGAGGCCAAGGCAAGCAGAUCACUUGAGCUCAGGAGUUUGAGACUAGCCUGGGCAACAUGGCAAAAUCCAUCUCCACAAAUACAAAAGAAUUAGCCACGCGUGGUGGCGUGUGUCUGUGGUCCCAGCUACUCAAGAGGCUGAGAUGGGAGGAUCGCUGGAGCCCAGGAGGUUGAGGCUGCAGUGAGCCAAGAUUGCACCACUGUAUUCCAGCCUGGGUGACAGAGUGAGACCCUGUCAGGAAAGGAAAUGAAAGGAAAGGAGAGGAGAGAAGAGGAGAGGAGAGAAGAGGGGAGGGGAAGGGGCAGAUUGGUGGCUUCGGGGGAUGAGGGGUGGACAGUGAGGAGUUGACUGCUCAUGGGUAUAGGUCUCCUUUUUGGGGAUGGUGACAAUGUUUUGGAACUAGAUAG
rnacentral:lncRNA from 1 species